GCCCCUGGAGAUCCAUUUAUGACGACACAAAAGAGCUCAGCGUCAGUCACGCAGUGUUUCUAGUCCAGUCCGGAAUGUGCAGCUCAGGGGAAAGGCUGCACUCCCCGAAAGUGCACGGGGUUUGCGACGUUAGCUAUGACUGAGAGACCACUCCAGACUGGAGGAGCGUGCAACAAGUCCCAGGACCAGAAAGGAAAACAAGCAUCCUUGAAAGCCGGAACAAUCUGAGAGGAAUCGGUGUAUCGGAUCCAUUGAACCAGCUGGGAGAGUAGGGCUCCGACUCUGAAGGGCUCAAAGCGACUAGGACCCAGCUCCUCUCCAAGUUGGCUUAGCUGUCCUCUGUCUGUUUCUCUCCUUCUCAACCCAUGAGUGAUAGCAAGAUGGGGAAAACUGGAUCUGUCCAUAAAAGUCAGGACCUAGUUCUCCACCUCAACUUGACGCUCCCCCACAACUUUGUCUUGCUGUUUUUUGAAUUCAAAUCCCUUGACCACCUCCCAUCCCCUGCAUCAAACCUAUCAUGUUUUAGUGACAUAUCCUGACUAACAUCUGUCUUUCCUUGUGUGCUUUUUCCUUCAUGAAGUUAUUCUAGACAGCUAAAUUGGGUAGAAAUAUUAUAGGCAAUCAGAUAGGGCUGGAUCCUUGACAGAGUCAGCUCAAAAGGUGAAAACUCAUUACGACCAUGACUGGAGAAGCAUCUGUUGCAGACCAGGCCUCAAGAUAAAGACAAAAUGACCAGGUUUGCACACUUCCCCAAAGGACAAGAUAAGCAGUAACACCAGCCUAGUGAAGUCUAGGUAGACAUCAGUCACCCCAGUGGGUGACCAAGACCUCCAGACCCAUCAUUUCCUAGAAAAAGUCUUUGUUCUUUCCAUGCACCCUUGUUACUUGACUUGUUCCCCCGUUGGAUCACUACUACCUAAGCGAUUAUACUUGUAACCUUAAUGGUUAUUCGUAGCUUGAACACAUGUUGUUUUGCUCUAUAAAACUCCUGAAAAGUGAGGGCCUCAACUACCCAUUUGGGACCCCUCCUGCCUCUCCUGAGCUGUUCUCUCCAUAAAUGUUUUCUACUCUUAACCUCCAUUGUUCCUAGAAUUCAGUCUUCAAUUUUAGAGAACAUGCACUCAGUGUAUCAGACAUCUAAUGGGUUGGGGAUUUUAUUAUACAUUUAGAGUCCCUACUUCAUCUCCUAUAUCAUCCCUGUAUCAAGGUGAGCUCUCCCCAGCUGUAUCCCAUGCACACAAUAGGAUGUCACAUUUCGGACCCAAAUAAACACUUGGUCAGUUCUCCCUCCG
rnacentral:lncRNA from 1 species